AGUGAACGCUGGCGGUAGGCCUAACACAUGCAAGUCGAACGGCAGCACAGUAAGAGCUUGCUCUUACGGGUGGCGAGUGGCGGACGGGUGAGGAAUACAUCGGAAUCUACUUUUUCGUGGGGGAUAACGUAGGGAAACUUACGCUAAUACCGCAUACGAUCUACGGGUGAAAGCAGGGGAUCUUCGGACCUUGCGCGAUUGAAUGAGCCGAUGUCGGAUUAGCUAGUUGGCGGGGUAAAGGCCCACCAAGGCGACGAUCCGUAGCUGAUCUGAGAGGAUGAUCAGCCACACUGGAACUGAGACACGGUCCAGACUCCUACGGGAGGCAGCAGUGGGGAAUAUUGGACAAUGGGCGCAAGCCUGAUCCAGCCAUACCGCGUGAGUGAAGAAGGCCUUCGGGUUGUAAAGCCCUGUUGUUGGGAAAGAAAAGCAGCAGGUUAAUACCCCGCUGUUCUGACGGUACCCAAAGAAUAAGCACCGGCUAACUUCGUG
rnacentral:rRNA from 1 species